rnacentral:tRNA from 1 species
CCGGGGAUGUAGCUCGGUGGUAGAGCACUUGCUAGCAGGGAAAGGCCCUGGGUUCAAUCCCCAGUACUUGGA